rnacentral:rRNA from 1 species
GCCUAACACAUGCAAGUCGAACGGUAACAGGAAGAAGCUUGCUUCUUUGCUGACGAGUGGCGGAGCGGGUGAGUAAUGUCUGGGAAACUGCCUGAUGGAGGGGGAUAACUACUGGAAACGGUAGCUAAUACCGCAUAACGUCGCAAGACCAAAGAGGGGGACCUUCGGGCCUCUUGCCAUCGGAUGUGCCCAGAUGGGAUUAGCUAGUAGGUGGGGUAACGGCUCACCUAGGCGACGAUCCCUAGCUGGUCUGAGAGGAUGACCAGCCACACUGGAACUGAGACACGGUCCAGACUCCUACGGGAGGCAGCAGUGGGGAAUAUUGCACAAUGGGCGCAAGCCUGAUGCAGCCAUGCCGCGUGUAUGAAGAAGGCCUUCGGGUUGUAAAGUACUUUCAGCGGGGAGGAAGGGAGUAAAGUUAAUACCUUUGCUCAUUGACGUUACCCGCAGAAGAAGCACCGGCUAACUCCGUGCCAGCAGCCGCGGUAAUACGGAGGGUGCAAGCGUUAAUCGGAAUUACUGGGCGUAAAGCGCACGCAGGCGGUUUGUUAAGUCAGAUGUGAAAUCCCCGGGCUCAACCUGGGAACUGCAUCUGAUACUGGCAAGCUUGAGUCUCGUAGAGGGGGGUAGAAUUCCAG